rnacentral:rRNA from 1 species
AUAGCGUAUAUUUAAGUUGUUGCAGUUAAAAAGCUCGUAGUUGGAUCUUGGGUCGGGGGGAGCGGUCCGCCCCUUGUGGGUGUGCACUGGUCCACUCGGCCUUCUUGCCGGGGACGCGCUCCUGGUUUUAACUAAUCGGGACGCGGAGUCGGCGAUGUUACUUUGAAAAAAUUAGAGUGCUCAAAGCAAGCCUAUGCUCUGAAUACAUUAGCAUGGAAUAACGUGAUAGGACUCUGGUCCUGUUCGUGUUGGUCUUCGGGACCGGAGUAAUUAUUAAUAGGGACGGUUUGGGGCAUUCGUAUUUCAUUGUCAGAGGUGAAAUUCUUGGAUUUAUGAAAGACGAACUUCUG